UACGUAGGUGGCAAGCGAUACUCGGAAUCACUAGGCGUAAAGCGCAGGUAGGCGGUUUGAUAAGUCUUUUGUGAAAGCUCCUGGCUUAACUGGGAGAGGUCAAAGGAAACUGUCAGACUAGAGUUUGGUAGGGGAAUACUGGAAUUCCUGGGUGUAGCGGUGAAAUGCGUAGAUAUCAGGAGGAAUACCUAUGGCGAAAGCAGGUAUCGUGGGCCACAACGUGACGCUGAGCUGCGAAAGGCUAGGGGAGCAAACAGG
rnacentral:rRNA from 1 species